AGUGAUGGGGUGACGCAGGAAGGUAGUCCAUCCCGGGCGGUGGUUGUCCCGGGGUAAGGGUGUAGGACGUCAGGUAGGUAAAUCCGCCUGGCACAUAGUCUGAGACCUGAUGCCGAGCCGAUUGUGGUGAAGUGGAUGAUCCUAUGCUGUCGAGAAAAGCCUCUAGCGAGUUUCAUGGCGGCCCGUACCCUAAACCGACUCAGGUGGUCAGGUAGAGAAUACCGAGGCGUUCGGGUGAACUAUGGUUAAGGAACUCGGCAAAAUGCCCCCGUAACUUCGGGAGAAGGGGGGCCAUGUCUGGUGAUGAGUCUUGCACUCUGAGCUGGGUGUGGCCGCAGAGACCAGCGAGAAGCGACUGUUUACUAAAAACACAGGUCCGUGCGAAGCCGUAAGGCGAUGUAUACGGACUGACGCCUGCCCGGUGCUGGAACGUUAAGGGGACCGGUUAGUCACAUUUCGGUGUGGCGAAGCUGAGAACUUAAGCGCCAG
rnacentral:rRNA from 1 species